rnacentral:rRNA from 1 species
AACGAACGCUGGCGGCAUGCCUAACACAUGCAAGUCGAACGAAGUCUUCGGACUUAGUGGCGCACGGGUGCGUAACGCGUGGGAAUCUGCCCUUGGGUGCGGAAUAACUUCUCGAAAGGGAUGCUAAUACCGCAUAAUGUCGUAAGACCAAAGAUUUAUCGCCCAAGGAUGAGCCCGCGUAAGAUUAGCUAGUUGGUGGGGUAAAAGCCUACCAAGGCGACGAUCUUUAGCUGGUCUGAGAGGAUGAUCAGCCACACUGGGACUGAGACACGGCCCAGACUCCUAC